AACGCACGAGACCUGCGGACCUGCGGAGGGAUCAUUAACGCAUAUCUGACGGGGUGCGGCGCCCUGCUCCGGUCCAAACGGCCCGUGCAGCGGGUGUGACGUCCCCGUCCACACCUCACAAACCCUCUGUGAACCUUCCUGGCGGAGGGGGCUCGGUUGUUUCCGAGUCCCCGAGGCCACACACCAAACUCCAGUUGCAAAGAAUGUCGUGCGGACGCUGUGCCGCUUAAACAUGUAACA
rnacentral:misc_RNA from 1 species